GCAUAUCAAUAAGCGGAGGAAAAGAAACCAACAGGGAUUGCCCCAGUUAACGGCGAGUGAAGCGGCAACAGCUCAAAUUUGAAAUCUGGCCCCUCAAGGUCCGAGUUGUAAUUUGUAGAGGAUGCUUUUGGUGAGGUGCCGCCCGAGUUUCCCUGGAACGGGACGCCGCAGAGGGUGAGAGCCCCGUCUGGCUGGCCGCCGAACCUAUGUAAAGCUCCUUCGACGAGUCGAGUAGUUUGGGAAUGCUGCUCAAAAUGGGAGGUAUAUGUCUUCUAAAGCUAAAUAUUGGCCAGAGACCGAUAGCGCACAAGUAGAGUGAUCGAAAGAUGAAAAGCACCUUGAAAAGAGGGUUAAAUAGUACGUGAAAUUGUUGAAAGGGAAGCGCUUGUGACCAGACUUGGGCGCGGCGGAUCAUCCGGGGUUCUCCCCGGUGCACUUCGCCGUGUCCAGGCCAGCAUCAGUUCGUCGCGGGGGAAAAAGGCUUCGGGAACGUGGCUCCUCCGGGAGUGUUAUAGCCCGUUGCAUAAUACCCUGCGGUGGACUGAGGACCGCGCUUCGGCAAGGAUGCUGGCGUAAUGGUCACCAGCGACCCGUCUUGAAACACGGACCAAGGAGUCGUCUUCGUAUGCGAGUGUUCGGGUGUCAAACCCCUACGCGUAAUGAAAGUGAACGCAGGUGAGAGCUUCGGCGCAUCAUCGACCGAUCCUGAUGUUCUCGGAUGGAUUUGAGUAAGAGCAUACGGGGCCGGACCCGAAAGAAGGUGAACUAUGCCUGUAUAGGGUGAAGCCAGAGGAAACUCUGGUGGAGGCUCGCAGCGGUUCUGACGUGCAAAUCGAUCGUCAAAUAUGGGCAUGGGGGGCGAAAGACUAAUCGAACCUUCUAGUAGCUGGGUUCCGUGA
rnacentral:rRNA from 1 species